GCCCUUCCACCUGCCUGUGCCUCUGGAGAUCGUUUUCCUCAGUCAGAACUGGGAUUUCUCACCCACCUGUCCCGCCACCUGCCUACACGUUUACCUGGCUCAGCCUCCGGUCACGAGAACCCUCCACCCAAGUCUGUAUUUCAGUUUGUGCCAAACCGAUCGAGUCCUCUGCCAGUUUUCCUGGACGUCCCGAAUCUGUGUUUCAUGUUUUCCCUGUCAUUGUAAAUAAACACCAUUCACUCCAAUUCCCUGGCAUCUGUGUUCUGCUGCCUGGGUUCUACUCUACCCUUUCAGCUUACCGAGCAGGUCAUCAACACUGGGACUCAAACAGGAUGCUAGUGAAAUAGCUAGGGCCCUUCUUUAUGUGGCUGUCUUCAACAUUCACUGAUCCGCUCUCAUAAUUAAAACAAUACCCCACAGCACAGUCAUCUCACAGAACCAUAAUUUGCUACAGCAGUUUGACAGACUGAAUUAAGCAUCAUGCUUAGUUUCUCUCAAAAUUACACAUUUGCACCUGUUAAUAACUCCAUAUGGUGUAGGAUCUAUGAGGGUGAUGGAACAUGAGCAAUCAGGUUUGGCAAUUAGACCAAGAGCCAAUGGGACUCUCCCAGUGAACGCAAUCAGAGAAACUCCAUUACACAUGAUUAGUUUGAGUGGAUGUGCAACAAUAGAAGGAAGUGAAAUGAUUAGAGCCAACUGCUGUAGGUCAUGCCAGCUUUAUAAAUAAAACCAUACAGCACAAUACACACAAAUAGGUCCAUUAAACAAUAUGUGCUAGGGAUGAAUAAAGAAAUCUACUGUGGUGCAAAACAGCAGUACAAGAUGACAAACAGAUGGAAACUCCCCAGUAGAAGUUUAAUGGAAAAAAUAACUCACAAUUAGUGCAUCUUUGUACAGCACUCUGAGGAAAAAUCGGCAAAGAAAUGUUAGGGAAGAGGCUGGAAUAAUUACUGCAGGAUUCAAAACAACCAUAAAGAGAACAGAUGCAGACUCUCUCUCCAAGUAUUAGAGACUCGAGGAUAAAAGCCUGUAAGAUAUGCAGAAGAAGAUGAAAGCAUCACACCUGGAUUAUUUUGUUUGUAUUUGGUGCUAAUCCUCUCAGCAGUACCUCGAUGUUGGUCGGCAGUAUUAGACUAUGGCUGACAGUGUGGUUUGUGCACAAGAGCUGCUAUUCAAAGAUGGGGAAAUCCAGUAAAAUCCGAGAAUAAGGAGGUACUCCAAGUGCAGUCAACAACUUUGCAUGUAUUUAGCCUAAAAAAAAAAAAAAAAAAAAAA